GGGCUAAACAUAUUACCGAAGCUGUGGAUUGUCCUUUGGACAAUGGUAGGAGAGCGUUCUAAGGGCGUUGAAGCAUGAUCGUAAGGACAUGUGGAGCGCUUAGAAGUGAGAAUGCCGGUGUGAGUAGCGAAAGACGGGUGAGAAUCCCGUCCACCGAUUGACUAAGGUUUCCAGAGGAAGGCUCGUCCGCUCUGGGUUAGUCGGGUCCUAAGCUGAGGCCGACAGGCGUAGGCGAUGGAUAACAGGUUGAUAUUCCUGUACCACCUAUAAUCGUUUUAAUCGAUGGGGGGACGCAGUAGGAUAGGCGAAGCGUGCGAUUGGAUUGCACGUCUAAGCAGUAAGGCUGAGUAUUAGGCAAAUCCGGUACUCGUUAAGGCUGAGCUGUGAUGGGGAGAAGACAUUGUGUCUUCGAGUCGUUGAUUUCACACUGCCGAGAAAAGCCUCUAGAUAGAAAAUAGGUGCCCGUACCGCAAACCGACACAGGUAGUCAAGAUGAGAAUUCUAAGGUGAGCGAGCGAACUCUCGUUAAGGAACUCGGCAAAAUGACCCCGUAACUUCGGGAGAAGGGGUGCUCUUUAGGGUUAACGCCCAGAAGAGCCGCAGUGAAUAGGCCCAAGCGACUGUUUAUCAAAAACACAGGUCUCUGCUAAACCGUAAGGUGAUGUAUAGGGGCUGACGCCUGCCCGGUGCUGGAAGGUUAAGAGGAGUGGUUAGCUUCUGCGAAGCUACGAAUCGAAGCCCCAGUAAACGGCGGCCGUAACUAUAACGGUCCUAAGGUAGCGAAAUUCCUUGUCGGGUAAGUUCCGACCCGCACGAAAGGCGUAACGAUUUGGGCACUGUCUCA
rnacentral:rRNA from 1 species